GAUGAACGCUGGCGGCGUGCCUAAUACAUGCCAGUCGAGCGAACGGACGAGAAGCUUGCUUCUCUGAUGUUAGCGGCGGACGGGUGAGUAACACGUGGAUAACCUACCUAUAAGACUGGGAUAACUACGGGAAACCGGAGCUAAUACCGGAUGAUAUUUUGAACCGCAUGGUUCAAAAGUGAAAGACGGUCUUGCUGUCACUUAUAGAUGGAUCCGCGCUGCAUUAGCUGGUUGGUAAGGUCACGGCUUACCAAGGCAACGAUGCAUAGCCGACGUGGUAGAGGGAUCGGCGACCCGGGAACUUGACCAGGGACAUUGCUACUAAGAGAGGCAGCAGUAGGGAAUCUGCCGCAAUGGGCGGAAACCUGGCGGAGCAGCGCCGAGUGAGUGGUAGAGGUCUUCGGAUCGUAAAACUCUGUUAUUAGGGAAGAACAUAUGUGUAAGUAACUGUGCACAUCUUGACGGUACCUAAUCAGAAAGCCACGGCUAACUACGUG
rnacentral:rRNA from 1 species